rnacentral:lncRNA from 1 species
AAUCUACAAUUCCUAAAAGGAGUGCUAAAACAAAGGCUAGGAAAAUAAAACAAGGAAAGGAAAAAUGCCACAGACUUAUCGAUAAAUUGGUCCCCGCUCCUUGGCUCAACAAGACUUCUGAAGACUCUUGCUUCCUGAAGAACUUAGAAGAAGCUAAUUUUAGCAAAAAUACUAAAAGAAGAAAAGCCAAAACUCUCAAGAAUACUCUCAAAAU